rfam:Streptomyces sp. NRRL F-4428 contig65.1, whole genome shotgun sequence.
GCCGGUCCUCGGUAGUGGCACCCGGAAUGCCCACGCGGGCAACGAACCGGGUGCUUCGAUCGAAGACCGGC